rnacentral:rRNA from 1 species
CUGUGAUGCCCUUAGAUGUUCUGGGCCGCACGCGCGCUACACUGACAGAGCCAGCGAGUUUUCACCUUGGCCGGAAGGUCUGGGUAAUCUUGUGAAACUCU